AUGCACUGUGUGCGCACGGCGGCGGCUGCGCACCUGAACACCGGACCAUCCCCUGACGAGGUCGUCGGACACGCUGUCGGACUCGUUGGCCCAGCCCCAGAGCACGCGCCGGUUCUUGCUGGGGUCGAAGAAGGACUUGGACGCGUACACGUGGCCGUAGUCGAGGCGGCGCCAGCUCCGGCAGUCGUCGUCGUCCUCCGGCACGAAGGUGUCCGCCGUGUCGUCGUACCGCCCGACGACGUAGUAGUCCUGGACGGUGUCCAUCACGCUCAUCUUGAGCACGUGCCUCGCCCCGGCGCCGCUCGCCGGGAGCCCCACCUCCACCCCGGGCUCGGACACCGGGAACAGGUCCGGGCACUCCACCAUGCCGGCGGCGUGGGCCAAGUAAAGCGGGUCAGCGUUCCGCUCCCAGCGGAGGAAGUCCUUGCUCCGGUAGAUGAGCGUGGCACCCCCAACAUCGUGUACACGGGCCGCGACGGCGAUGCGCCACAGGCCGUCGGCGCCGAGCCACGCCGUGGAGGGGUCGCGGAAGUCGUCGCGCUUGAUGUCGGCGGGGACGGGGAUGACGGGGUUGUACUCGGGCUUGACCCACUCGACGAGGAGCGGGUCGGAGGCGUUCUUGGGGAAGGCGACGUUCUGGACCUGGUCGCCGCGGGCGUCGAUGCCGGUGUAGAGCAUGACAGGGCUGCCGUCGGGGAGGAUGGUGGCGGAGCCCGACCAGCAGCCGUUGGCGUCGAAGGAGCGGCUGGGCUGGAGCGCGGCGUCGAGCGCGAACCAGUUCACCAGGUCCACGGACACGGAGUGGCCCCACGAGAGGUUGCCGUUGCCCCACGUCACGCCGUCGGGGUUGUACUGGUAGAAGAAGUGGUACAGGCCGUUGUGGUACAUGGGACCUGCAAAGCACAGCACAAAACAACCGCCGUCAGGUAA
rnacentral:rRNA from 1 species